rnacentral:rRNA from 1 species
UACAGAGGCCCCGAGCAUUAUCCGGAUUUACUGGGCGUAAAGGGUGUGUAGGUGGCAAAGUUAGUCUUUCGUUAAAACCCGGGGCUCAACCCCGGACUCGCGAAGGAAACGGCUUAGCUCGAGGAUACGAGAGGUUAAGGGAACUCAUGGUGUAGGGGUGAAAUCCGUUGAUAUCAUGGGGAACACCAAAUGCGAAGGCACUUAACUGGCGUAUUCCUGACACUGAAACACGAAAGCGUGGGUAGCGAAUGGG